rnacentral:rRNA from 1 species
UACGUAGGGUGCUAGCGUUGUCCGGAUUUAUUGGGCGUAAAGGGCUCGUAGGCGGUGUGUCGCGUCGGGAGUGAAAGCCCGCUGCUUAACGGCGGGUUGGCUUCCGGUACGGGCAUCGCUGGAGUGCGGCAGGGGGAGACUGGAAUUCCUGGUGUAGCGGUGGAAUGCGCAGAUAUCAGGAGGAACACCGGUGGCGAAGGCGGGUCACUGGCCCCGAUACUGACGCUGAGGUGCGAAGAACGUGGGGGAGCAAACAGG